CUGCCGGUAAAAGCCGGAGAAGGUGAGGAUGAUGUCAAGUCAGCAUGACCUUAUAUCCAGGGCCACACACACGCUACAAUGGUCUGUACAAUGGGUAGCCAAGCCGCGAGGCGGAGCCAAUCCUGAAAAGCAGGCCUCAGUUCAGAUUGCAGUCUGCAACUCGACUGCAUGAAGCCGGAGUUGCUAGUAACCGCAGGUCAGCAAUACUGCGGUGAAUACGUUCCCGGGUCUU
rnacentral:rRNA from 1 species